ACAGCAGUAGCCGCGGGAAUACGAAGGGGGCUAGCGUUGCUCGGAAUCACUGGGCGUAAAGGGUGCGUAGGCGGGUCUUUAAGUCAGGGGUGAAAUCCUGGAGCUCAACUCCAGAACUGCCUUUGAUACUGAAGAUCUUGAGUUCGGGAGAGGUGAGUGGAACUGCGAGUGUAGAGGUGAAAUUCGUAGAUAUUCGCAAGAACACCAGUGGCGAAGGCGGCUCACUGGCCCGAUACUGACGCUGAGGCACGAAAGCGUGGGGAGCAAACAGGAUUAGAUACCCCCGUAGUCCCUGUCUCUUAUAC
rnacentral:rRNA from 1 species